ACCACUAGGGGUGCCCAAGCUGACAUCCGUCAGUAAGGGCUGAGAUCACACCCUCUGAACCUGAUCCGGGUCAUGCCGGCGCCAGGGAAGUGAAGC
rnacentral:ncRNA from 1 species